GACGAACGCUGGCGGCGUGCCUAAUACAUGCAAGUAGAACGCUGAAGGAGGAGCUUGCUCUUCUGGAUGAGUUGCGAACGGGUGAGUAACGCGUAGGUAACCUGCCUGGUAGCGGGGGAUAACUAUUGGAAACGAUAGCUAAUACCGCAUAACAGUAGAUGUUGCAUGACAUUUACUUAAAAGGUGCAAUUGCAUCACUACCAGAUGGACCUGCGUUGUAUUAGCUAGUUGGUGGGGUAACGGCUCACCAAGGCGACGAUACAUAGCCGACCUGAGAGGGUGAUCGGCCACACUGGGACUGAGACACGGCCCAGACUCCUACGGGAGGCAGCAGUAGGGAAUCUUCGGCAAUGGACGGAAGGCUGACCGAGCAACGCCGCGUGAGUGAAGAAGGGUUUCGGAUCGUAAAGCUCUGUUGUAAGAGAAGAACGAGUGUGAGAGUGGAAAGUUCACACUGUGACGGUAUCUUACCAGAAAGGGACGGCUAACUACGUG
rnacentral:rRNA from 1 species